rnacentral:rRNA from 1 species
CAAUAGCGUAUAUUAAAGUUGUUGCGGUUAAAAAGCUCGUAGUUGGAUUUCUGCCGAGGACGACCGGUCCGCCCUCUGGGUGUGUAUCUGGUUUGGCCUGGGCAUCUUCUUGGAGAACGUAGCUGCACUUGACUGUGUGGUGCGGUGUCCAGGACUUUUACUUUGAGGAAAUUAGAGUGUUUCAAGCGGGCACACGCCUUGAAUACAUUAGCAUGGAAUAAUAAGAUAGGACCUCGGUUCUAUUUUGUUGGUUUCUAGAGCUGAGGUAAUGAUUAAUAGGGAUAGUUGGGGGCAUUCGUAUUUAACUGUCAGAGGUGAAAUUCUUGGAUUUACUGAAGACUAACUACUGCGAAAGCAUUUGCCAAGGAUGUUUUCAUUAA